rnacentral:rRNA from 1 species
UACGGGGGGCGCAAGCGUUGUUCGGAUUUACGGGGCGUAAAGGGCGCGUAGGCGGCGCAACAAGUCACUUGUGAAAUCUCCCGGCUCAACCGGGAGGGUGCGCCGAAUACUGAACGGCUAGAGUGCGGGAGAGGAGAGUGGAAUUCCUGGUGUAGCGGUGAAAUGCGUAGAUAUCAGGAGGAACACCGGUGGUGUAGACGGCUCUCUGGACCGUAACUGACGCUGAGGCACGAAAGCGUGGGUAGCAAACAGG